AUCCUGUUGUCAGAUUGUUUGAGCCUCUGUCUGUGUGUGUGUGUGUGUGUGUGCGUGAGAGAGAGAGAAGUGACCUCGAUACCACGGAUUUAAAGCCACAGGAAAGAUGAAAGCCAAUAAAAGGAAACGGAUUUAAGCACUGAGGCCACGUGUACGACUUUGAGCAUAACAUAAAUAUAUACCCUUCUCAAAUAUAACCUCACGAACGGUCUGCGAAAACUCUUGGGAGAUUUUGUACCAUUUUUCAUUUAGGGGAAGCAGUAGUAAUUUUGCGAUAUUUUUUUCCCCCUUUGUUAUUUUUUAUGUUUGCCCUUAACUGCUUCCUCCGGUGUAAGAAAAAUAUCCACCAUGCUCCGCUGUAGGGCAAUGCAGGCGAUAUUAAACGAACCACUAUAAUACGAAGCUCAGAUGUGUAGUUCAGGUGUAUAGCUCAGGUGUGUAGCUCAGAUGUGUAGCUCAAAUGAACGUAUGCAGGUGUGUGUGAGAGUAGGUGUUAACUUGGUAGCAGGUGAGAAGAAUUGAGGUGAGGUUAGGUGCAGUAAGGUAAGUUAAGGUUAGGUUAGGUUAGGUUAGGUUAGGUAAGGUAAAGUAAGGUUAGGCUUGGUUAGGUUAGGUAAGGUAAAGUAAGGUUAGGCUUGGUUAGGUUAGGUAAGGUAAAGUAAGGUUAGGCUUGGUUAGGUUAGGUAAGGUAAAGUAAGGUAAGGUGAGGUAAGGUAGGGUAGGAUUAGGUAAGGUGAGGUGAGGUGCAGUAAGGUAAGUUUAGGUUAGGUUAGGUUAGGUUAGGUAAGGUAAAGUAAGGUUAGGCUUGGUUAGGUUAGGUAAGGUAAAGUAAGGUAAGGUGAGGUAAGGUAGGGUAGGAUUAGGUAAGGUGAGGUGAGGUGCAAAUCAAAGGAAAAGUGGAAAUUCGAAAGUGAGUUGUGUAGCUCAGGUGUUGUGUGUAGGCAGGUAUUCUUACUUGAGGGCAGAAGGUCAGGUGAGGUAAAAGAGAGAGAGAGAGAGAGAGAGAGAGAGAGAGAGAGAGAGAGAGAGAGAGAGAGAGAGAGAGAGAGAGAGAGAGAGAGAGAGAGAGAGAGAGAGAGAGAGAGAGAGAGAGAGAGAGACUGAAGCAAGGGGAAGCGGCGUGUGAAUGACAAGGAAACAAAAUGCAAAUCUAAGCGAGCGACGAAUUUGAUAGAAGCGACGUUUAAAGGGGAAGAUCUAAUUCAUUCUCCGG